ACCCAGCUGACGAGUUCCAAAUAGGACGAAAUGUGUAUCAAAUUGGAU
rnacentral:hammerhead_ribozyme from 1 species